GGAGGAUGCAAGCGUUAUCCGGAAUCAUUGGGUUUAAAGGGUCCGUAGGCGGCCUGAUAAGUCAGUGGUGAAAUCUCCUAGCUCAACUAGGAAACUGCCAUUGAUACUGUCGGGCUUGAAUUGUGGUGAAGUAACUAGAAUAUGUAGUGUAGCGGUGAAAUGCUUAGAUAUUACAUGGAAUACCAAUUGCGAAGGCAGGUUACUAACCAUUGAUUGACGCUGAUGGACGAAAGCGUGGGGAGCGAAC
rnacentral:rRNA from 1 species